rnacentral:rRNA from 1 species
AGAGUUUGAUCCUGGCUCAGGACGAACGCUGGCGGCGUGCCUAACACAUGCAAGUCGAACGGAGAUAUUUAUUUCGGUAGAUAUCUUAGUGGCGCACGGGUGAGUAACGCGUGAAUAACCUGACCCGAAGAGGGGGAUAACACCUGGAAACAAGUGCUAAUACCGCAUGAGACCACGGACCGGCAUCGGUCAGAGGUCAAAGGAGGAAUCCGCUUUGGGACGGGUUCGCGUCCCAUUAGGUAGUUGGUGAGGUAACGGCCCACCAAGCCG